rnacentral:lncRNA from 1 species
AAUCUCUUGUUUGUUAGAACAAAUCCUUGCAGAUUCGGGCUUCAACGUUCAUGACAUGUGCCGUGAGGCUAUAUAUAAAUUAUACACAUCAGCCGAUUGAUUAGCGUUUCCAGUGGAUGUGUGAGAGAGAGAAGAGAGAGAGAGAGGGCGAAAGGGAGCGUGUGAGAGAGAGAGACGAGGUAAUCCUCCCCUUGUACGAUAGGGUUUUUAGAGAGGGAGAGAGUGCAAAUGGCCAAAUUCCAAUGUGCAUGUGCUCUCUAGGCCUUGAACACAAAUAUUUGGAGGUACUCACAACCUUUCAUCUUGUUUUUUCGAUUUUCUUGCAAUUCGUUCUUUUUGGUCUGUAACUCGUUCACGGUUCUUUGUACUGACUUUGGGAUCUGUUUAUUUCACAUAUCCUCUAUCGAUUCCCAGAAACAUCAAGCCACUGUAAUUAC